GCAUAGUAAGGUGCAGUUAGAGAAGGCAGUGUGGAUCCUUCAGACUGCAAAUAUUCAACAGCCUACAAAGCCAGGAAGUGAUGGGGAUGGUAGACCCCUCGUAGGUAGUAAUAGGAAGGUAUGGAAAGAACAGUGUGUUGGCCUUCGUGGGAACCAGAAGGAUUUGGAUUAAAGAACAGAGAAGCUCAAACCUGCUCAAAUCAUGCUGCUGUCUGUGACUCUGAUGUGGCAUUUUGAAGAGUAAAAACACAUGCUGGAAAAUUACCAAGACAAAUUCCGGAAUCUCGACACAGGAUUUUCCUUUGUGGCUAAAAGGCUGAGCUACUUUGGAAACAUUUGGAUUCCUUUUCUGCUUUAUCUGAGCUGCAAAGCAUCUCUUUUAAAGCAUAGACAUUGCAUUCUAUAUAAGGAGGAACCUUUGUGAGUUAAUCACGCAGCAUUUUCCAGGCUUGUCUAGGAGUUCCAUCAUUAAGAAAUAUGUGUUGGUAGUUAUUAUCUAACAAAAGGGAGAACAAGAGAAAUUAAAAAUCUUGUUUAAGCCUCAUGAUACGUAAUGAGCUCUAAGAUAUUCUCUUUAGCCCCAGUUCCCAUGGAAAUUAUUUAAUGCGGAGAGGGAGUUCAAACUACUGAGGAAAGCUGCAUAUUUUCAGAGCACUUAGGCAGAGAAGCAAAGCGAGAAGGGUCUGCAACUUUGGAUAGAACAUCUUGUAUUCAUGCACAUCUGCAUUCACUAUUUUUUUAAAAAGAUUUUAUUUAUUUUAGAGAGAGAGCAUGCUCGAGCAGGGGGAGGGGCAGAGGGAGAACAAGAGAUUCUCAAGCAGACUCCCACGGGGCUCAAUCCCAGAACCUUGAGAUUGCAACCUGAGCUGAAACCAAUAGUUGGACGCUUAACCAACUGAGCCACCCAGGCACCCCUGCAUUUGCUCUUCUUAAAAAGGCUUUCAGGAAGCUGGCUGAGGACAGAAGACAACAUGAUUAUUCUUCCAAUUUCAAAUUGUCACUCUACUUUGUAUCCUUUACAUACACGAUUCUAACAUGAGUUAAUACGGACAGAAAUACUUUUUUUUUUUUGGACAUUAAAGGGAAAUUGUGUGAUACGAAAAUAUCCUAACCUCAUACCAUUCUUGUGAACUCCCUGGGUAAGAAAAGGGGCUUCCCUUCAAUUCAGUGUAAGGGAAUUUUUAAAAAUUUGAAUGUUUUGGACCAGGCCCCUGGUGCAGGCCCGGUCUAGAGUGUGAUGGACACCGAGGACAGCACAGCUGUCCCCUUCUCACGAACAGUUUUCCACCUUGGCUGCGUUGCCGGCGUUCAGUGUCGAUGGAACCAAUGUUACCAUCAGCCAGUUACCGGCCUUCAGGGACAGGAGUGUGGGGCCUCAUGGUGAGGGAUAAUAAGGGCCUCAGAGCUCGAAGCUCUCAUUCCAGGGCCAGCCUUGUCUCUAAAUAAUUAUGAGGCUGUUGGCAAGGGACUGAACAUCUCUAUACCUUGUUUUUCUCAACUGCAGAACAAGAACAGCAUCAGCUAACACACAGACAUGUGAAAAAUUAAGUCAGAUGCUCAGUAUCGCUAACACCUCUUGCCCUUUCCCAUCAGUUAGCUAAACACACUGUCCCUUACAAAACACCCACUCACAAGAGAAAGGGUUCUUUAGAUUUGGCUCCCAAAUGGAGUUGACGUCUAUUUUCCCCCUUCUGUCUAUCUCUGUCUUUUUUAGUAGUAGAACUCCUCCCGUUAGAGUUUACAGGCCUACGAACAUACACGGUUCCUCUGGGCGCAGUGGUUCAGGUGACCCGACCGGGUCCUUCAGCCAAAGCUGCAGGCACGCAAGGUGGUGUAGCUCAAGAGAGUCUCUCCUUUCUGAGGCGUGUGACCAUGAAGUCCGUGGAGGAGAGCAGAGCCAAGGUAUGGCUCAAUGACUUUAUUCAAGAUCCAACACCCAGCAGGCCCAGAGCUAAAUAAACCGUGUGUGCCCUGGAUUUUUCAUCAAAGGAGCCAAGAAUUUUUUUUUUCUUUCGCAAGUUUGGAUUAGUUUCUCGCCUUUUCAACUGAAAGGGUUUUGAUGAACACUUCCAAGGGUGCAGAUCAAUGGAGGGCAGGGGGAAGUAAAAAUUUAAAUUUGAAGUAAGAUUAUUUUUACCUGAAAACUUUUUCUUUAGAGGGUCCAUAUAUUGCAUUAAUUCUUUAAUACAUUUAGAACAAAAUAAUCAAGAUGAUCACUUUAAAAAUCUCUUGCAUUGGAGUCAUGAUGUAAGAAGCCCCAAAGCACCCUGCAUUGUGAGGACAGCAGCACCGACAAUAUCAUCUGAAGCAUGUGUGGAAUAGCUGUGCAUUGCCGCCAGAAGAGAGCACUGGAGCUGUCUGCGUUGGGCAUCCACGGAAAGAAGUGAGCAUUUUUGGAAUCUCGGAAAACACUUUUUUUUUUUUUUUUAUUAAAUUUUCUCCACCACAGCAUCUCAACACCUUCCUUAAGAGACAGACAAAAGAAAGUCCGGUUAAAAGCUGUCUGCAAAGUGGAAAUGGUUAACAGAAAUGAAAAUCGGAUCCUUUCAUGGAUUAAUGUCACUGAAGAUUGUCCCUGACUCCAACAACCUCGGCAGCAAACCUGGUUUCAUUACACACAUGGGCGCCUACGUGCGUGCACACACAAUCCAGAUGUGAACUCCUUGAAAUCACGGAUUUUGCCUCUUUUCUCCCCAACGGAAUUUCUACUGCUUGCAACAAUCUUGUGUAUCUGACACAUAAAAAAUGUUCAAUAAAUACUUACUAAAAAAACUGA